UACGGAGGGUGCAAGCGUUAAUCGGAAUUACUGGGCGUAAAGCGUGCGCAGGCGGUGAUGUAAGACAGAUGUGAAAUCCCCGGGCUCAACCGAGGAACUGCGCCCAAAACUACCGUGCUCGAGGGAGACAGAGGUGAGCGGAACUUAGGGUGGAGCGGUGAAAUGCGUUGGAUAUCCUAAGGAACACCCGUGGCGAAAGCGGCUCACUGGGUCUCUUCUGACGC
rnacentral:rRNA from 1 species